ACUCCUACGGGAGGCAGCAGUGAGGAAUCUUAGACAAUGGGCGCAAGCCUGAUCUAGCCAUGCCGCGUGUGUGAUGAAGGCCUUAGGGUCGUAAAGCACUUUCGCCAGAGAUGAUAAUGACAGUAUCUGGUAAAGAAACCCCGGCUAACUCCGUGCCAGCAGCCGCGGUAAUACGGAGGGGGUUAGCGUUGUUCGGAAUUACUGGGCGUAAAGCGCACGUAGGCGGACCAGCAAGUUGGGNGGAAUGCCAUGGCCGGCUCAACCCGCACGACUGCCUCAAAACUGUUGGUCUUGAGUUCGAGAGAGGUGAGUGGAAAUUCCGAGUGUAGAGGUGAAAUUCGUAGAUAUUCGGAGGAACACCAGUGGCGAAGGCGGCUCACUGGCUCGAUACUGACGCUGAGGUGCGAAAGUGU
rnacentral:rRNA from 1 species